AUAAAAGAAACAAUUUUUAGAUAAAAUAAAAAUAAAAUUUUUUACAGGAGAAAUGUUUUUUAUUCUCUAGUAAAAUUUUAAUUUUGUGACUUGUCACAUCUUCAAAAUACAGCACUCAAUUAAACUAUUAUGUUUUUUUGGAGCUACCCAUUUAAUUUUUCUGAAACUUAUGUUUUUCUUAGUGUUCGUUCUUAGUCAUCCUUAAUAAUAAGAUCCGUACUAACAUGUAUAAUAGGCUCCAUACUAAUAUCCAAUUUAACUAAUAGCUAAGUUUUAAAAGAUUUUGACAUUGAAAGCAUGUACAAUCUUAGCUUUUCCAUUACAGUAGAUAGUAAUUUUAAACAUUUUGUAAAAACCAUUGUUAAAAAUGCUCAGGGUAAUUCAUCUGAUUUUUCAAAAAAGUCAUUGAUUUUUAUAUAAAUAGUUGGCUAUGAACUCUGUUGGAGAAACAUUGUUUUAAUAUGAAUUUUUUUUGUUGUACAGUGCAAUCUGUAUUUUAUAAGAUACACAAAACAAUUCUCGUUAAUGCGUAAGCUUAAACAUUAACGAGAAUUGUUUUGUGUCAGAAAUUGAAUGCACACCUGCAAAUUUCAUAAUUCAUAAAAGUAAUAAUGAUCCAUUAGCAAGUAUAUAUUUUUAUCAUUAAAAAUUUGACCCUCUUUCUUUAUUUUUAUCUGUUUUAUUAGUGAUUGUUGUAUUUACUUUCAUAAAUUCUAAAUAUAAUAUGUAACUAGUUGUAUAGUUUCUUAAUAAUAUAAUUAGCUUUAAUGUUCAAGAUAAAGUUGCAUCCUUGACAGAUAUGCUGGUAUUAUUGGCACAACGGGCAAGCAUUGAAGUGCAACUUGGUGAACUACAAAACACAUCAAAUUCAGUUAUAAAAGUUUGAGUAACAAAGGUAUGCUAAUUAUUGUAUUGCCUGAAAGAGUGUCAUUGCCAUUAAAAGCAGUAAAGAAUUCAAGUACUCUGCAAGAAAGAAGACAAUAAAAUACGUUAGUAAAUGGUUAAUUAUUUGGCACAAAUUGGAAUUAAAAACAAAGGAGAUUGUAUAUGUUAUUUACUAAGAAUUGUUUUUUAAAAUGGCCAAGCUGUGAAAUUAAACUAUACAGGGAGAGGACAAAAAAUUGGAAUAGGAAAAAUGUUGGUUGCAUAUGUUGCUAUUGAAACUGCUAAGUCAAAUAAGCAUGGCUUAUGCAGUCAUGUGAUAGAGAUUGGGGAAGAAAAAAUAAUAAUCGUGGGCACCAAAUAUUAAAAGCUAAACAAUAUUCAAUAACAAGUAGCACAGCCAAUAUUGAAACUACUCUAUAAACUUUAUAGUGAAUUUUUUUUAUUUAAAAUUCAAUGUGUCAGUUUUUGGUUUAAGUUUGGUGUUUGCAAUAUGUAUAUUUAAUCGAGAAAUUAUGUUAAAUAAAUAAAUUUUUAUACUUGUAU